GGAUAACACCUGGAAACAGAUGCUAAUACCGGAUAACAACACUAGACGCAUGUCUAGAGUUUGAAAGAUGGUUCUGCUAUCACUCUUGGAUGGACCUGCGGUGCAUUAGCUAGUUGGUAAGGUAACGGCUUACCAAGGCAAUGAUGCAUAGCCGAGUUGAGAGACUGAUCGGCCACAUUGGGACUGAGACACGGCCCAAACUCCUACGGGAGGCAGCAGUAGGGAAUCUUCCACAAUGGACGAAAGUCUGAUGGAGCAACGCCGCGUGAGUGAAGAAGGGUUUCGGCUCGUAAAGCUCUGUUGGUAGUGAAGAAAGAUAGAGGUAGUAACUGGCCUUUAUUUGACGGUAAUUACUUAGAAAGUCACGGCUAACUACGUGCCAGCAGCCGCGGUAAUACGUAGGUGGCAAGCGUUGUCCGGAUUUAUUGGACGUAAAGCGAGUGCAGGCGGUUCAAUAAGUCUGAUGUGAAAGCCUUCGGCUCAACCGGAGAAUUGCAUCAGAAACUGUUGAACUUGAGUGCAGAAGAGGAGAGUGGAACUCCAUGUGUAGCGGUGGAAUGCGUAGAUAUAUGGAAGAACACCAGUGGCGAAGGCGGCUCUCUGGUCUGCAACUGACGCUGAGGCUCGAAAGCAUGGGUAGCGAACAGGAUUAGAUACCCUGGUAGUCCAUGCCGUAAACG
rnacentral:rRNA from 1 species